rnacentral:lncRNA from 1 species
UUAGGGUUUUAAACCCUAAACUGAAUUUUCCCUUCAGUUAGCAUUAGGGUUCUAAACCCUAAACUAAACUUUUAUCCAUUCAGCCAGCAUUAGGGUUUUAAACCUUAAACUGAGCUUUUCCAUGAUAUCAGCAUUAGGGUUUUAAACCCUAAACUGAAUUUUCCCUUUAGUUAGCAUUAGGGUUUUAAACCCUAAACUGAACUUUUUCCCUUCAGCCAGCAUUAGGGUUUUAAACCCUAAACUGAGCUUUUUCCAUUCAGCCAGCAUUAGGGUUUUAAACCCUAAACUGAGCUUUUCCAUGCAAUCAGCAUUAGGGUUUUAAACCCUAAACUGAAUUUUUCCUUUUAGUCAGCAUUAGGGUUUUAAACCCUAAACUGAACUUUUCCUUUAGUCAACAUUAGGGUUUUAAACCCUAAACUGAACUUUUUCCAUUCAGCUAGCAUUAGAGUUUUAAACCAUA